GAUGAACGCUGGCGGCGUGCCUAAUACACGCAAGUCGAGCGAACAGACGAGGAGCUUGCUCCUCUGACGUUAGCGGCGGACGGGUGAGUAACACGUGGAUAACCUACCUAUAAGACUGGGAUAACUUCGGGAAACCGGAGCUAUUACCGGAUAACAUGUUGAACCGCAUGGUUCAACAGUGAAAGACGGUCUUGUUGUCACUUAUAGAUGGAUCCGCGCCGCAUUAGCUAGUUGGUAAGGUAACGGCUUACCAAGGCAACGAUGCGUAGCCGACCUGAGAGGGUGAUCGGCCACACUGGAACUGAGACACGGUCCAGACUCCUACGGGAGGCAGCAGUAGGGAAUCUUCCGCAAUGGGCGAAAGCCUGACGGAGCAACGCCGCGUGAGUGAAGAAGGUCUUCGGAUCGUAAAACUCUGUUAUUAGGGAAGAACAAAUGUGUAAGUAACUAUGCACGUCUUGACGGUACCUAAUCAGAAAGCCACGGCUAACUACGUG
rnacentral:rRNA from 1 species